rnacentral:rRNA from 1 species
UUGACCUCGGAUCAGGUAGGAAUACCCGCUGAACUUAAGCAUAUCAAUAAGCGGAGGAAAAGAAACCAACAGGGAUUGCCUCAGUAACGGCGAGUGAAGCGGCAACAGCUCAAAUUUGAAAUCUGGCCUUCGGGUCCGAGUUGUAAUUUGUAGAGGAUGUUUUGGGUACCGCUGCAGUUUAAAUUUCUUGGAACAGAAUGUCAGAGAGGGUGAGAGUCCCGUCUGGAACUGCGGUAGGGCCUAUGUAAAACUCCUUCGACGAGUCGAGUUGUUUGGGAAUGCAGCUCAAAAUGGGUGGUAAAUUUCAUCUAAAGCUAAAUAUUGGCCAGAGACCGAUAGCGCACAAGUAGAGUGAUCGAAAGAUGAAAAGCACUUUGAAAAGAGAGUUAAACAGUAUGUGAAAUUGUUGAAAGGGAAGCGCUUGCAACCAGACUUGAGUGUGGUGGUUCCCCCUUGCUUCUGCUUGGGUUACUCCAUCAUAUCCAGGCCAACAUCGGUUCUAGGGGUCGGUUAAAGGCCUUGGGAAUGUACCUACCUCCGGGUAGACUUAUAGCCCAGGGUGUCAUGCGGCCUCCUGGGACCGAGGAACGCGCUACGGCGAGGAUGUUGGCGUAAUGGUUGUCAGCGACCCGUCUUGAAACACGGACCAAGGAGUCUAACAUCUAUGCGAGUGUUUGGGUGUCAAACCCGUACGCGAAAUGAAAGUGAACGGAGGUAGGAAGCCUUAAGGCUGCACUAUCGACCGAUCCUGAUAUUUAUGGAUGGAUUUGAGUAAGAGCAUAGCUGUUGGGACCCGAAAGAUGGUGAACUAUGCCUGAAUAGGGUGAAGCCAGAGGAAACUCUGGUGGAGGCUCGCAGCGGUUCUGACGUGCAAAUCGAUCGUCAAAUUUGGGUAUAGGGGCG